rnacentral:tRNA from 1 species
CAGAGAAUAGUUUAAUAAAAUAUUAAUUUUGGAGAUUAAAGUUGGAAGUAUAUUCUUUCUCUGA